rnacentral:rRNA from 1 species
CAGAGGUCCCAAGCGUUGUUCGGAUUUACUGGGCGUAAAGGGAGCGUAGGUGGCAUUCUAAGUCUGAUGUGAAAGCUCUGAGCUUAACUCAGAAAUGGCAUUAGAUACUAGUUUGCUCGAGGAUUGGAGGGGAGAUUGGAAUACUUGGUGUAGCAGUGAAAUGCGUAGAUAUCAAGUGGAACACCAGUGGCGAAGGCGAAUCUCUGGACAAUUCCUGACACUGAUGCUCGAAAGCUAGGGGAGCAAACGGGAUUAGAUACCCCGGUAGUCCUAGCUGUAAACGGUGCACGCUUGCUGUAGGUGGAAUCGACCCCGCCUGUAGCGAAGCUAACGCGUUAAGCGUGCCGCCUGGGAAGUACGGUCGCAAGAUUA